rnacentral:lncRNA from 1 species
CGGGCGUCCGUCAUCAGUGAUGUGAUUCAGGUGUACAGCGGCAGACUUCUGCGAGACCAUGAGAGAGGCCACGGAGCUCUCCAUGAACACCUCCAUCAGACAGGAUGUGGAAUCAUAUAUCCACCGAUCUGGACAGACCGGCCAAGCCGGAAGAACAGACAUCUUCAUCUGUUUCUGCCGGCGGAAGGAGGAGAGCCAGCUCAAGGAGCAGAAAGCGAUGAGACAGUAUUUGGAGCAGCUCUUUGUGUAAUGUAGGGUGAAUUCAUUUAACUAUGACGCUUUUAUUCUAACCAAUUUCCCAACAGCCCUGAAUCAACCCAAAAUAAUAUCAUUAGUGUUAAGGAUGUUCAUUUUAACCAUUAACGACCGUUAAGAAUUUUGACCGAUUUAUACAAUCAGUUAAACGGUUUAAAAGUCAUUUAUUUACUUGUUUAUUUUCAGCAAUUUAUAAAAAUAUUGUAAAAGUUUUGGUGCAUGGUUAAAGUUACGCAUAUAAAUAGAUUGUCGCUUUUUUAUUUCAUUCAGAAAUAGGCCUAUUGCCAACACGUAAUGUUUACAAACAUUAUAAUAAACUGUAAACAUCGCUAGGAUAUUUUAGUUCCCCUCACUAAACAAAAUCCUUUCAAUGAACAGUAUUUAGAAAAAAACAAGAAUUAAAAAUAUAAGAAGCUAGCAAUAUAAAUGACAAGCCAAAACAAAUUCAUUUAGGCUAAAACGAAACAGAAACCAAUGCUGGGUCUCUCAUUCGACACAAAAUCAAAUGUUUCCGUAUUCGCAGUGUGUUUGAAUGAAAAAUUAUUAUUCAUUACAGCCUACUUCACUCACGUUCCAGUAUCCAUGUAAAACUACAUGUUUUGCAUAACAUCACACCGUUACGAACACUUAACAGCACAGAUUUUAUUACAUAUUUAAACUGAGCACUGUGUAUUUUUCCAUAUGUUUGACUGACUGUAUCUCAUUAUAUUAAAGAACAGACUGCAUUGUCAUGGUAGCAAAGCUUAACUGUGCGCACACAUGCAGCACCAGCAAUCACUUGAAGUUUUUCCUUACAGUGGAAACAACUUCGUUUAGUCAUGAAGAUAAUCUGAAAUGUAAACAGUUUGUCUUUAUUUGUGUAUAUUCACAAUAAAAAUGUGCGUAAAAUAAGCCUUAAGAAAAUAGGAUGCUGCUUUCUGCCUUCCGUUUCCUUUCAUACAGCACAAAAAUUUUAUGAAACUCUGCAUUUUUCUUUAAUUUUCAUAAUUUAUUAUUCAAGUAAACAUAUAUUUUUCAUUUAGGCCUAUUUAUAUGCUAUAUAUAGCCUAGCUUUAAGAUAUUAUUCUCCUCUUGCAGAAGCGCUGUAAAAUUCAUCCCAAGGAAACAAAUGUUAUUAUUUUUAAUGGGUCACAGACACUUAUCCUUUCUAAUUUAAUUCAAUUCUAAUUUAAAAUAAUCUUGUCGGUUAACGGUUAAUAAUUGGUUAACGAGCAUCAGUUGACGGUUAGGAAAAAUAACCAAAAUGAACAUCCCUAAUUAGUGCGAAUAAACCAGUGGCAAUCAUUUGAACAAAUGAUGGUUGGUUGAUUAAGGAACCGUUUCUUGUCUUCUCCUGCUCCAGGAGAGAGGUCGGGGUCCCAACAGCCAACAAUAUCAUCCAAUCCUCCAGUAAAGACAUUGUGAGGUCAGAGAACUUCACAAGUAUGAUACAUACAGCUGUUUCAAUUUAAUGUAUCAGACUGAAUGCUGUAGGG